UCUGGAUGGCAGAGACAUGCUUCCAAGC
rnacentral:piRNA from 1 species